rnacentral:rRNA from 1 species
AUACAGAGGGUGCGAGCGUUAAUCGGAAUUACUGGGCGUAAAGCGCGCGUAGGCGGCUUAUUAAGUCAGAUGUGAAAUCCCCGGGCUCAACCUGGGAACUGCAUCUGAUACUGGUAAGCUAGAGUUUUUGAGAGGGAAGUAGAAUUUCAGGUGUAGCGGUGAAAUGCAUAGAGAUCUGAAGGAAUACCAGUGGCGAAGGCGACUUCCUGGCCAAAAACUGACGCUGAGGUGCGAAAGCGUGGGUAGCAAACGGGAUUAGAAACCCUAGUAGUCC